rnacentral:rRNA from 1 species
AUGCCCGUUCUUCCUCCGAAGAGGACGAGGAGGAGGAGGAAGACGAAUCCCCAGCGGGGGGAAGAAAGAAAAGGAUGGCCUCCACAUCCUUGGAGGCUGAGAUCAAAAGCUCAAUUUUCUACUGGAUCGGGGCAUCCUAUUAGUAAACCCAUUUGGACAGAUUUAUAAGAUUGGGAUAUUCUUGAUCGAUUUGGUCACAUAUGUAGAAAUCUUUGUCAUUAUCAUAGUGGAUCUCACCUACAGGUCUGUCCUAGCAUACAAUAUCAAAAAAGAUUGUCUCUUAUUUUUGACCACAUUUGCACUAACUUUGUUCACUGCUUGGUUUGA